AGAGGUUCAUGCUUGUUGCAGGUUGGUGACAUCAUUAGCAGGUUUGAGAAGAAGGGCUUCUAUUUGAAAGUUUUGAAGUUCAUCCCGUUGUUGCUAUGAUUUGGGAGGGUAAGAAUGUUAUCCUAACUGGCCGAAAGAUUAUUGGUGCCAC